CCCCCCCCCCCCCCCCCCCCCCCCCCCCCCCCCCCCCCGGGGGUCGGGCGGGACGGGGGGGGGGUGGUGUCUGGAGCGGUCUGGCAGGACCCAGCCGAAGCACACGGCUCGGCCUUGACUGCCUCUCUCCCAAAUCUGGUUUUCAUAGAGCCGCGCAGUAAUUACCUAAAGCCGUAACUGUCUCCGAAAUUAUUCAUUAAAGUCAUUCCCGGGAAUCUAUCGGUGCGAGAGCCUACAUUUAUGGCCUUUGCGCCCCCCGAGCAUGACAUCGCCUCUCGCCUUGCGUCCUCAGCGGCCGAGUGCUCAGCAUCGCGGAGAGGAAGGGGGAGACAGGGCUGCUCUCUCUUGCCUUCCCCUCGAUGUAUUUGUUUGCGGGGGCUCAGGUUGCUUUCCCCCUUUUGGCAAAGGAGCGCUAUGCAGCCCGGCAGAUACCUUGGGAGCGGGGAGGGUAUUUUGGGGAGUUGCAGUGUUGUGCGGAAGAUCAUGUCUGUGCCCUGUGGUGCUGUCAGCGGUGACAGAUCCCAGAUGCGGUCGCUACUGUAUGGCAGAUUGAGUUUCUCAGCAGAAAACUCUCUCCCUCCCUCCCUCCCUCCCAAACGUCUUCAAAAACCUUCUCCAGAUACUGCGGGUCACUUCGGCUCAAACGGGGAGAGAAAGGGGGGAAAAAGGGCUUUUCCUCUCUCCUCCCUCUCUCUUCCUCCCGCCGGAUCUCUCCGGGGUGCGGGGGGCCAUGACCGGGCCCUUGUGAUACUGCGGGUCACUUCGGCUCAAACGGGGAGAGAAAGGGGGGAAAAAGGGCUUUUCCUCUCUCCUCCCUCUCUCUUCCUCCCGCCGGAUCUCUCCGGGGUGCGGGGGGCCAUGACGGGGCCCUUGUGCACCCGGGGCGCUGAGGCGUCCCCUCUCACCCUCGUCCUGCUGGGAGCCCGCCGCCGAGCACGGGGACCGUCGUCCAGGCAACACGUCGUUCGCAGGAUGGCCUGA
rnacentral:lncRNA from 1 species